rnacentral:rRNA from 1 species
GACGAACGCUGGCGGCGUGCCUAAUACAUGCAAGUCGAACGCUUCUUUCCUCCCGAGUACUUGCACUCAAUUGGAAAGAGGAGUGGCGGACGGGUGAGUAACACGUGGGUAACCUACCCAUCGGAGGGGGAUAACACUUGGAAACAGGUGCUAAUACCGCAUAACAGUUUAUGCCGCAUGGCAUAAGAGUGAAAGGCGCUUUCGGGUGUCGCUGAUGGAUGGACCCGCGGUGCAUUAGCUAGUUGGUGAGGUAACGGCUCACCAAGGCCACGAUGCAUAGCCGACCUGAGAGGGUGAUCGGCCACACUGGGACUGAGACACGGCCCAGACUCCUACGGGAGGCAGCAGUAGGGAAUCUUCGGCAAUGGACGAAAGUCUGACCGAGCAACGCCGCGUGAGUGAAGAAGGUUUUCGGAUCGUAAAACUCUGUUGUUAGAGAAGAACAAGGACGUUAGUAACUGAACGUCCCCUGACGGUAUCUAACCAGAAAGCCACGGCUAACUACGUG